rnacentral:lncRNA from 14 species
AUUACUUACUCUCGUUAUAAAUUUAAGACAGGUGGAACAUUGUCUACUGUACAUGCCUGUCCUUCUGUAUUGAUCUCUUUUUUUCUUUCCAGUAAACAAAAUAUUAUACAUCUUAGAAUCCUAACAACUGUUUUAACUUUUCAUAUUCGUCAGUGUAGACAUGUACUACAAACACUCCUUAAUAAUCUUUUUCUCUGUUUCAGCAUUUUAGUGACAUGACAUCUUCGUACAACCGAAAGGCUGCUGCUCCACUAGAAACACCAAUGAAACGUGCACCACCCCCAGAAAAGCAGAGUAACUUCAACACAUUCUAUCCGGAUUAUAAACAAAAACAUCAUUCUUUAGGAUUGCUUGUUAAGACACAAAACACCACAGCUUUCAGUGAUUGUAAACCUCAGGAUUGCUCACAGAGUUUUCUAAAGGAAUUCAGAGACACAACAUUUGAUAGCCCAGAAAUUCUGAUUGACCAGACCCCAUGGAAUGACUCUUCAUCCACAGACCCAUGUGAUUCAUUUGCACCUGAUGGAUUCCUCUCUGAUUUCUUUGUUGACCCAGAUGAGCUUCGAAGUCUGAGUUUUCACCAAAUAGGUAGAGAAACUAAAGGAAAGAGAAAACAAAAUCCGCCAUUUGUAUGGACAAAAGAAAAAAAUACAACAGAUUCAGGAUUUGCAGAAGUACCAGAGUUCAAAAAACAAAGACUGACAUAUGAAAGAGUCCCUGGAAGAAGUGAUGGACAAACACGUCUUAAAUUCUUUUGAAUGGGAUAGAAUGGGGAUUUGUAUACUACACACACUUUUUAAAAUUCUUAGUCUUUGA